rnacentral:rRNA from 1 species
CCUACGGGUGGCAGCAGUGAGGAAUAUUGGUCAAUGGACGAGAGUCUGAACCAGCCAAGUAGCGUGAAGGAUGACUGCCCUAUGGGUUGUAAACUUCUUUUAUAUGGGAAUAAAAUGUUCCACGUGUGGGAUUUUGUAUGUACCAUAUGAAUAAGGAUAGGCUAACUCCGUGCCAGCAGCCGCGGUAAUACGGAGGAUACGAGCGUUAUCCGGAUUUAUUGGGUUUAAAGGGAGCGUAGGUGGAUUGUUAAGUCAGUUGUGAAAGUUUGCGGCUCAACCGUAAAAUUGCAGUUGAAACUGGCAGUCUUGAGUACAGUAGAGGUGGGCGGAAUUCGUGGUGUAGCGGUGAAAUGCUUAGAUAUCACGAAGAACUCCGAUUGCGAAGGCAGUUCACUGGACUGCAACUGACACUGAGGCUCGAAAGUGUGGGUAUCAAACAGGAUUAGAUACCCGAGUAGUC